rnacentral:rRNA from 1 species
CCCUUAGAUGUCCUGGGCCGCACGCGCGUUACACUGAUGCAUUCAACGAGCUUAUAACCUUGGCCGAGAGGCCUGGGCAAUCUUGUUAACGUGCAUCGUGAUAGGGAUAGAUUAUUGAAAUUAUUAAUCUUGAACGAGGAAUUCCUAGUAAACGCAGAUCAUCAAUCUGCAUUGAUUACGUUCCUGCCCUUUGUACACACCGCCCGUCGCACCUACCGAUUGGAUGGUCCGGUGAAGCCUCGGGAUUGUGGUUCUUGCCGCUUUAUUGUGGCGUGACCGCGAGAACUUGUCUAAACCUUAUCAUCUAGAGGAGGGUGAAGUCGUAACA